rnacentral:rRNA from 1 species
UACGUAGGGUGCAAGCGUUGUCCGGAAUUAUUGGGCGUAAAGAGCUUGUAGGCGGUUUGUCGCGUCUGCUGUGAAAUUUCGGGGCUCAACCCCGAACUUGCAGUGGGUACGGGCAGACUAGAGUGUGGUAGGGGAGAUUGGAAUUCCUGGUGUAGCGGUGAAAUGCGCAGAUAUCAGGAGGAACACCGGUGGCGAAGGCGGGUCUCUGGGCCGAUACUGACGCUGAGGAGCGAAAGCGUGGGGAGCGAACAGG